GGGAGCGCGCCGGCGGCGGGUUGGGCCGUGUCACGCGGCCGCGAGGCUGCCAAGGCCGAGCGGAAACACUACUCUCGCGGCGGCCGGAACCGGGCCACCAUAUUUGGCGUUUCCUCCGGGCCUUUUAAGGCGCUUCCGAGGCCCAAAAAAGGCUUUUCCUGCUCACGCCCUCUUGGGGCCGCUCCGCGGAGCUUCCGGGGGCCGCCGGGCCGCCUCGGAACGGCCCCGCCCCGCCCCGCCCCGCCCCGCCCCUGGGGCACCGCGGCGGGUCUCUCGCUCGGGCCGUGCCCCGCCCCGCCCCGCCCGGCCCUUGCCGCGGGCUGCUCGCCUGGCGGCUGCGGGCCCGGGCAGCGUCUGCUCCACGCGGGCUCCUGUGGCGGGUCCGGGGCCCUCAGGUCGCACUGCGGACGCCCGCUCGCGGCGCGGCCCGGAGGAGCUGCGGCUGUGCUCCCUGCGACCUUUGGAGGGCAGGCCUCUGCCUUUCCUCGCUGCCGGCUGCUGCUACGGUUUCUUUAAUAGGGAGUGAGUCGCUCUGCCUGCCCGCCUCAGAAAUAGAAAUAAAGGGAAGAAAAUCAGCUAUGGCAAUUUUAAAGAACCCAACUCCCUCCUGUGAUAUGCUGCGUGCCCUGUUGUGUCUUGGGAAUGCUACUAGAGAAUCCCUGUUGGUGAAAUACGAUUGUUAAAGCUGUUUCUGUUGCAGCUGUGAGUUGCUCUUAACCAUGGGCCUUGGCUGACAGAACAGAUGAGACUUAGCAGGAAGAAUAGAGAGCUCGAAGAAGAGAUUUUGGAGUGAAAAGCUAUGUGAUCAUGGGCCGUUCUUUCCUCAGCAGCUUUCACUGGUCUAUGUCUGGAACACUGAGGAUCUGAGAAAGAUCUUAACCCCCAAGACAAAUAACUUUUUAGACCCUAACCUGACAUCCAUGGACUGAAGUGAUCUGAGCUGCAGAAGGCACCCUUAGGAGAGCUGCCCACAAACACACCUUCACCACUGUUGAGUUUGACUAAAGACAGGUGAAGUGGUCCAAGGCUGGCUCAUGAAGAACUGUAACUGAGGGCUGUAAGGCUAUGUUGGUUGACUUUUGAUAUAAGUAUCUGUUUCAAAAGUUUUCUAUUUGUGGCCCAGUAGACCAGAAUUCUCAAAAGUUAUAUGUGUGUAGGUAAAAAAUACUUAUGAAGAGGGUUUAGAUAUGUGAUUCUUGAGCUAUAUGUUGCAUGUUUUUACAUGUGUAUGUUAUCUGCAUGUAGCCAUAGUGCUGGUUACACCUAGAGGGAAGGCUGCAUGUUUUAAAGUACUCUGAGGCUCUAGGAUGAUAAUAUACGAGCUGUAGCAAAUGAACAAGAACUUUUUCAAUAGUUAAGUUGUUCUGCUAUAAUCAAAAUGUCUUCGUUUUUGAAAGCACAGGCUUGACUUACAGGCUAAUGAUUUAUGAUCUUGACUAAAGAAACUUACUCCUGUUAAAGAACAGAAGACAAUGUAUGUGCCUAGUAUCUAGUGUUCUUUGGGCUUUGAUUUUGUCCUUUGACACUGCUGUAAUGAAAAUGACAGAUGGUUAGGCAGUAUUAUUCUUAACAUUCACAUUUCAUUUCCUUAACUAUAAAAAGAAUUAAUAAAGCAUGCUUCUGGAACUUUUUUUUUUUUUAAUUAAUAAAUAGGCUUAUAUUUGUGCUUUUUUUUUUUUUUUUUUGUAAUCUUUUCUUACUACUUUUUGUCUCUCUGAACACAAAUGAUGAUACACAAUGACACUAUGAUUAAAAAUGGCAGUGGCUAUAAGUUCUGCUAUCCAAUGUCCUCUGUAAGUUUGACCUGAGUUCUAUGACCUGAUUUAGCCAUGUAGCCUGGCUACUGUGAUUCCUCUGUAGCAAGAAAACUACUCAUCACAAAUAGGCUUUCAGACAUCAGAAUCAGGGCAGGGAGACAAAGGUUUAAUUUGAUCUUGAAAAGGUUGAAAGCCUUUAGACUCCUGUAAAGAUGCAAUUACAACUCUUAAGUAGGCUCAGUUACAACUCUUAAGCAGACUGAACAUUACUUGUUAUCUAACAAGGGCAAUUCUUCAAUCCAACAAAUUCCAUUAGGGAUGGUUAUAGAGAUUCUUCAAAACAUGUUACAUAAUUAACAUCAAAAAUGUGUCUAUCCCAAUUGCUGUACUCCUUUGAUAAAACAGAUAUUGGUAGCUCUCAGGUAGCUUAUGUGCCCAGCUUUGUACUAAGUCACUGAGCUCUCUGGUGUGUUCAAAUGUGUGGCAUUCUAUGAGCUGAGUUUAUGAAGUGGAACUAUGCUUUCAGGUUUGGUGCCUGUAUAUGUAUAUAGGCACUUUGGUGUAUAUAGUAAUUGCAGUUAUGGCAGCCUCAGGGAACCCUCGAGAUACUGUUAAUGUACCUUACUAAAACCUAGGCGUCAGUGAAAGAAAUGUGAGUAAAUUCUGGGAGACAAAUGCUCUGCAGUGAAUUAGUGUAAUUCUGGCACUUCUAACAGUUCUGAUUGCAUUUGUCCUUGGAAUACCUCAAGAAUGUUGGAGCAUAAGGAAGUAAAGAGACAGGCUCAGUGAGUAAAUCUUGCUAAAAAAUUCCUAGAAUAAAAUGUCAGCAGUAGUUCUCAUAAUAGAUUGAGAGAGAUUUCUUACCUAAUUAGCUGGAGAACUGGACAUGAAAGUAUAUUUAUAUAUAUGUGGAAAUCUGACAAAUCUUAAGAAAAUGCACAGCACCAGCAUUUUGAUCUGAAGGUUCUAGUGAUUAAAGGUCAUUGCCAUGAUUCUUAAAUUCUUUUUGUGUAAAUAAGCCUGAGGAUUAUAAGGGACUCCAUGUGUAUUCAAAAGGCUAGAAAGCAGCAAUGAGGUAUUGAAUUUAAAGGCAAAAACUGUCUGCACAUCUGGCAUUUUGCCCUAAGGAGAAGGGCAUUUUGUGGACAAAAUCAGGCCACCUGAGAAGUUGCAACUGUAGUUUUAACAUGCCAGAGAUCAUGACAUAAAAUGAACACAUGCUGAUUUUUAUUUUGUAUUUUUAUUAUUUAUUUAUUAUGUUAAAAAAUGCAUCUGAAUUAAAAUACAGUAGUUAAGAAGUAAGCAAAUGUUGGUACCAUUUAUUAAGAAGACUGUUGUACUUGAUCAAAAGAAUCCAGUCUCUGGUCCAUUGUAAGAUGUAGUCUUGGAGUACUCUUCCAGCAGUUGAGACCUGUGGGUAACACCUUUCAUGAACCCAUGUCUUUGCACAUCUACCUCUGUCCAUGUGAUUUGUGAAGCUAGACAAAAUUAUAACGUUCACAAUAUUUGGUGGGAAAGUGAAUUUUAGUGUAUCCAUGUGCUGCGUGAAGAGAGGUGUGUGUGUGUGUGUUUAAACUUGCUAUUUUGUAACUGAAUUUGAUGGCUAUUAAGGCUUUUAUUGUAGAAGAUGGUGAAUAAUACCAUUUCCACAACAGCUACAGAACUGUCUCCUCUUCUUUGCACUCUCUGUGGUUGAAGAAGCAGAAUCUGUUUUGUACAGUAGGUGGUUUGUACCUAAUAUCAUCCAUUGUUUUCUGUACCAUUGUUUCUGAGGAGUAGAGGCCUGCACUGUCCAUUGUAUUCAAAAUGUUCCCUGCCUGAGCAGGGGUUUGUACCAGAUGACCUCCAGAAAUGCCUUCUAACUUCAACCACUCUGAUUAUGUGAUUCUGCGAUGCAGGAUGAACGUAGGUUUAUUGUGGUAUAUAUUUUUUUUCUCCUAUUUUUCUUCAUUAUUUGCUGAAUAUUUCUAAAUGUCGUGUCUGGCUUUUGAGCAGUGAGCUGACCUUUUAGACUUACUUAUUGUUAAGAUCUUUUUGGGUGAUAACAGUUCUCUUGGAGACCAUCAUAUGAUGUAUAAUAUUAAAAAUUUGCACCCCCAACCCCUGACUUGUUUGUUUGUUGUAUUACGUACACUGAAAAUCAUCUGCAGCUUCCUUGUCUGUUCCCACAACAUUGUUAUCUCUUGCAGGUACUCUAUAGGAGCAUUAUUAUUAUUAUUAUUAUUAUUAUUAUUAUUAAACUGCCCAGAACAAAAGCAUUGUCAGAGAUCUGCCAUCUCAGUAUUCAUCUGGCUUUUUCAAAUACUCAUUAAAUAUUGUUUCUCAAGGCUGGACAGAGAUCUCUGUUGGUGAUUUUUGCCUAACUGAAACUGAACAUUUAUUACUGUUCUUUCAGCUUUUUAGUAAGUUGCUUCUCUGGAGGAGAGCUGUUCCUGUCAUCUCAUGCCUUUGGCAAGGUCUGUACAGAACAGUUUAUGGAAAUCCAGAUACAGUACAUCAGGUGAAUUUCACAUGUCCACAUGCCCAUUGAUUCUUCCAAAUAAUUCUAAAGCAUUUGUCAGAUGUAAAUUUGUCACACACAUACACGCUAAUUUUGACUUUCAGAAUUGCUUCUACUAGCAUACCUGGAAAUAGAAGUUGGACUGAUGCUUUCUGAAACAUGUAUAAAAAUUUGUCAUGUAUGUUAACUUUCAGUCCCGUAGUACUGAGGUAAAACAUCGCAGCUAUUAUGCUUUUUCAAUUGCACAUUUGAGGGGUUAUCAUAUGGUCUAGUGAUUUAUUGUUAUUUAUUCUGUUGACUUAAUCCCUUCUGUAAUUAUCCUACAGAAACUUUGGUAUAUGGGAGUUGUAUUACAGAAUAUUUUAAAGGUAAUUUUUUGGCACAGGAACUUUUCCAAGUUUGUCUGAAAUAAAAUGAGUACAAAAAUAA